GGGUUUUCUGCGAGCAAUAGUCGCAGCCCUCUAUCCGCUCCUUACGGGUGGCCUCAGCCUUCCUCGUUCUGCUAUAGGGUCUUGCAGUGGCUUCCGGACCUUUGAAAGAAUUAAAGCAGCAGGAACUGAGGCUGCGGAUACCUGAGGGACCUUUGUCUGAGGGGCAGGCUCUUACCCUGCAGGAGUCUUAGGGCCUCUAGCCUGCUCUUAACCCUUUCUUUUUACUGCUUUUAUCCCUUCUCCCGACUGUCCUUAGUCUGUAUCUCUGGCCUUAUUAAAAGGAAGUACAACAAGAUGAGGUAUACAAACGGGUGUUGGAUAACCAGAUGAGAAAGCUGAGGUCAGAAAAAUAAACUGAAAAGCCUGAUCUAGAAGAGAAGUGCAAGUAUCUGACGUCCAGAAACACUGAGUGUUCCACCAGUGUCCCAGACAUUCUUCUGCCUGGCCCAGCCACAGUUGCAGUUAGGUUGGGCCCUGGGGCUUGUUCUGGCCAAUGACCCAUGAACGCAAGUGGUGUGCAUCUCUUCUGGACAAGGCAAUUAGGAGCCAUUGUGUCUUCUCUAGCCCUCCCUUCCCCUCAGUGGAGGUGAAGCAUUCCGGAUGGCAGAGGUAUAAGCUGCAGGAGGGCUGUCGGACCCACACUGGCCUGUGAGAGUGGCUUGAAAAGUGAAGAGACCUGCCUCAUUUCAUUCAUGGAGUAACAGACAGAUCGACCAUGGAGUUUGAGUAGAAUGGGGAGAAGAAGAAAGCUGUCCUUACAUGUACCUACUUGAAUUCGUCCUGGUGGAAGGGCAGUAUUCAGUAAAAGUUGCUUUUCACCUGAUGAUGCUUGUGAUUAUUUUAGUUAACCCUGUGACUGAAUAAACCCACACCACCCUUCACAAUGGGGUCAGUGUACAGUUUCAGGGAAACAGAGAAAUCAUUCCAGCAAUUAUGAAUAAAAAGGGAUUCAAUACAGGUAAUUAUGAACUUGCAAAAUCAUUGGAGAGCAGGAGGAGCAGCCUCUAAACUGAGUCUCCAGAAAUAAUUGCCAGGAGAUAACCAUCAAAUGAUAUCCCACAGAGCUGCCGCCUGUGCCAGUCAUAAAUGUGUGAAAUCAAGAGUCUGUUGGGGAAACACUGAAUUCCUGCACACACUGCUAUAGUCGCAAUCUGGAGAUUGUUAAGACACUGUCGUCUGUGUAGCCACUAACUCCUAACACCCUUGAAGCUGGAUACUGGCCAUUGGGAUGCUAUUGCACAAAAACCCGAUGGCUGCAUGACCCUGCUUGGUUGCAGCAAUGAACAUCAGAGCAGGCUGCUGGCCCUGGUCUCAUACCUGCCUCUCUCAUCUCUUGAGUAUAUUUAGUGCACAGUCAGAGCAUUAGUGGGGAAGGAGUCAUAGAAAUGUAAGUUGGAGCUUUUCAAUCUUUGCAAUACAAGAAGGUACCAUAGAAGGUGGUUGGAAUGGAUGUUAAAAGCUAAUGUUUCAUGUUCACCACAGUGAUUCCAUGCAUAGGAAAUGAUGUGUAUGCCAGUGGCCGCAGCCUCUGUCUAGAGGACCAAAUACUGGAUUCACUUGGGUUUUUCGAAAAUCAACUUUUGUGGUACACUUUACAUAUAGUGAAAUGCACCUACUUUAAGUGUAUAUUCAGUGAGUUUAACAAAUACAAUGCAAAUGUAAUCAAUACCAUCAUCAAGAUGUAAAAAUCAUUCCAAAAAUUUUUCACGUCUCUGCAGCCAACCCCUACUUUCCCUUCCCCAAGCAACUAGUGAUCUGCUUUCUAUCUCUAUAGACUAGUUUUCCCCCAUUCUAGAGUUUCGUAUAAAUAAAACCAUACAGUAGGAUACAGCUGUUUUUAAUAUUUGCAAAUAGUUUUUUCCUUGCCAAGAAUCCAUCAUGGCAUAGCAGAAUAAGUGGGAUUUUUGAAUUUAGACAAACUCAGGGUUGAAUCCCAACUCUCCUACCUAACGUCUCUCAACCUCGUUCAAAAAAGUUGAACUUGCUGAGCCCAGAUUUCUUAACUGUAAAACAGUAAUUU
ensembl:lncRNA